UACGGAGGGUGCAAGCGUUAUCCGGAUUUACUGGGUUUAAAGGGUGCGCAGGCGGAUAUGUAAGUCAGUGGUGAAAUCUCCGGGCUUAACCCGGAAACUGCCGUUGAUACUAUAUAUCUUGAAUGCUGUGGAGGUAAGCAGAAUAUGUCAUGUAGCGGUGAAAUGCUUAGAGAUGACAUAGAAUACCUAUUGCGAAGGCAGCUUACUACGCAGAUAUUGACGCUCAUGCACGAAAAGCGUGGGGAUCAAACAGG
rnacentral:rRNA from 1 species